rnacentral:lncRNA from 1 species
GUCCCCAGACUUGUGCGCUUUUUCGUUACGCUACCCUCUUCCUGUUGGCUGUUGCCCUCUUCUGAAUUCGAUAAUGGAAUUAGGGCUCAGGUUUUGUCUUAUUCUCCGAGAAUUCAGAGGAAGGCGUUGGCCUAUCUUCUACUUCAAAUCUAGGGUUCGCCAAUCUGAUUUUGAUUGGUCCGAUAAUCAGGUACACUUUCUGUUAUUCCCUCUUUAAUUAGGUUUUGGCUUACCUCUAGCAAUCUAGAAUGAUGAAAUUAUCAUAUGCAUCUCUGUAUAAACCUAUUAUACUUAUGGAAAUUGCUCUUAUUUUACAGAAUAUAGUAUUGGCCAAAUCGAAUAGAUUGCGGAUUUUAAUUACUCUCUAGCCAACUAUUGCUUUCUCAUCUUCCAAUAAUCUUAGUAAAUUUCUCAAGGAACAGAGAAAUAUAGUUGUAAAUCCAAUAUUAUAGUAAGCUUAUAAGUUAUUAACAAUACGAUAGAGUAAAAAAAUAAAAUAAAUACUACUAUUCUCUUGGUUCCAGUUUCUGUGGCUAUAAAUUGUUUCGUUAAUCAUAAAAUGAGAAGUUAAAGGUGAAGUGCUAUUUCUUUUAUAGACCAAAAAGGAAAGAGUGUUACAUCAUCGAACGCUAUAGUCUAUUCAAACAUUACAUCCACAGAACAGUUGGUAAAAUACAAUACAGUACAAAAUGAUACAUUAUAGAAAUAAGAAGCCAAAUAUAGUGUCAAAUCUUGUAGAAAACAGAAGAACUAACUAUUAGUUCAUCUAUUGUUGGUGGGAGUGUCAUGUGGUGGAGUGAGUCCAUGGAGAGGUGAGGCAGGUAGGGACUUAGCCAUGAUUUGUGUACUUCGGUUUGAUAGAAUUGACGUGGAUGUCUUUCUUGCAUGCACAAAUUUUUCUUUUGUCUUGAUUAUGAGGAAGAACACCAGACGAUACAAAAUUAGUAUACCGACCAGAAUGACCAUGUCUACCCACUUUGAGUGUCCCAUUUCUGCUUGCCAUCUUUCUCUCAAGAUGACUUCUCCACUCAUUAUAUGAUUGUUUGCAAACAUAUCAUCUCUAAACUUUAGUCCUUCAAAUUCAUUCUUGAACAUACCUUGGUAAGCAUACUUGUGGAAGGACAUGUAGUAUAGUGGGUAUUUCCAAAGUAUUUUAGGCAACUCACUCGGUAAUUGAAAAUAACCACCACUUAGUAUUUGUAGUCCUUGUAUUCCUGCCCCCGCUACAAUGCCCAUUAGGAAGUUCGGUACAAUAGCUGCAACGUUCAUCAUUAGGCUCUCCACUAUCAUCAUACUGAUGAAGAGGACCAAAGCAAAGUAGAUGAAGUGCUCAAAUCCAUUUUGAAAUCCAGCAAGGAAAUAGGCAAUGGCACCUGGAACCAAUGAUAUUAGUAGCACGUACGGUAUAGAAGAAAGUGUGUUGCCUAUGACAAAAGCAAAACAUCCAUAGUGCCCGUUCACAUUUUCUCGUUGAAAUACCUGCAGUAUUUUUGUCCAAGCAGUUAAUUAAGUACUCACGAUCGUACAAAAUAAAUCAUAUAAUUUGUUAAUUGUUUUAAUUUAAAGAGAAAAUGAUACUACCUUCAUUUCCUCCACAAAUGAAGGGAAUCCACCGACCGUCAUAAAUGUCAUAAAUGAAACUACGAAAGCAACCAUUAGACCUCUUUCCUGCAAUAUCCAAGACCGUGUUAUGAUCCAUAAAUUGUGUGCACGUCAAGAAGAACUGAAAAGUACUUAGAAAUUAAGUUUUAAAAUUUAAUUGGUGUUUCCUUGUCUGUGUUCUGUCUAUCUAUACCUCAAUUGACCGAUAGUUUGAGCCAACAUUAUAGUAGAUGGAGCCAAGACUUAAAGCAAUGGCGACAUAAACAACGAAUCUCAUCCAAUAGUAGCCAGGAUCACGAAACAUGUUCACAGUUGACCUCCUUGUAAGAACAAGGCAUUGCGUCUUGAAGUUAGCAUGGCUUCUUUUUUUCAACAUUUCACCACCCUGAAAAUAUUUAAUGGAUGCAAUUAGAGAGACUCCGUUCUCAUCUCCUUUCCAUUUUGGGGGUUAACUCUUUCUUAAUUACCUGAUGACAUAUUUCUGCAACAUGGCUCUGAACUUCAUGAUAUCCCUCUGAUGAUUUAUAUGAAUUUAUGAGAAGGUCUAUAACUUCUUCUGUUGGUCGUCUUCCUCCAGCUGAGCCUUGUUCAAUAUCCUUUAAAUAGGAACCAAGAUAUAAUUUAAUAAAAGGGUAACAUUAAUUGGUUUCUCUUAGAAAGAGGAAACAUUAAUAUUUACCUCAUCAAAGUCCUUGUUUAUUGUUUUAAGAAAAUGAUCUGAUGGAUUCUGAAGAUAUGGGCAAGGGAAACCAUUCCUCGUGAAAAACUAUCAUAAUAAAAAACAUAGAAACUAAUCAAAUCAUUACAUAUAUCACUUGUAUUAUAUGCCCAUUAUAUUACUUUGCAAGUUAAUAGUUGAAUAAUGAAUAUAUAUAUAUACCUCAAUUGCUGCACUAGCAGGUCCAAAAUAUACGGUUCUUCCUGAAGACAAAAGGCAUAAACUGUGGAAAAGGUUGAAAACUUCAGCACUUGGCUGAUGAAUGGAUGCAAUAAUGGUUCUUCCCUCUCUUUGACGUGAAAUUCCGCUCAUCACGUAAUAAGAUGCAGCACUGUCGAGGCCGCUGGUUGGUUCAUCAAGGAAAAGAAGUUUUGGCCGCGUUAGAAUCUCCAUGCAAACACUAAGUCUUCUCUUUUCUCCUCCACUAAUUCCUUUAUUUUCAAAUCCUCCAAUUCUUGUGUUCAUUGCAUCUUGCAACCCCAUCUCCUUAAUAGUCUGCUCUGCUAUUUGUUUUUUCUCUGAUUUUGUCAUGGAAACUGGGAGUUGGAGUUGUGCAGAGUAGUAAACUGCUUCUUGAACUGUUAGUGUUGCUAACAGAGUUUCAUCUUGAGUCACAUAUGCCUGAUUUUAUAGGAUAAAGAACAUUACCAUGCAUGCUAAUGAAAAAAAUAUAGUAAUGUUAUUGUGAAAAAAGGAAAACAAAAUGAGUAGUGCAUGCGGCAUUCAGCUGAAGAUUUUAGUUUCUUACAGAUGUUCCAUACGAAAGUUUCUGUUUGUGACCAUUGAUCAGAAUUUCCCCGCUCUGCCUCGUGCUGAAAUCCAGUCGCCCUGGGAGGUGCCCAUCAGGUCAGUCAUAUUUCGUAAAAACAACUAGCAUUAUAGCUGUUAUUUUUGUCCCCAUUGAAGAUAUUAUAUGCAUCAUUUUCUAAGAGAUAUAGUAACAGUAGUAAUAUUUACCAGCUAAGGAAUCGAGAAGUGUAGAUUUGCCACAGCCAGAAGGACCCAUAACGGCCAAGAGCUCACUAGGUCGAGCAUAGCCAGUGAGACCUUUAAGUAUGGAUUUGCUUCCACCUUUUUUAGUGCUAACAGUAACCCAUAAGUCAUUCCAAGUCAAGAAAACGCCUCCACUUUUUGAUACCAUUUGUCCUUUCUCAGCAUUAUUCAACUCUACUUCCUGUAACUCCAUAUCCAAAUUUACAGAAGCCAUGCAAUACCGUGAAAAUUUGUAGGAAAUACAAAGACUAAAAGGUGGUUUAUUUCUUUUUCAUGCAAAAGGUAUGGGGUAUUUAAGGAGGUUGUAGUCAUCUUUGUCAGCUAGGGCUUUAAUGAGAUAAUAUGUCAAAAAAUAUCUUACUAUUACAAACAGUUCAAGGGAACCAACUCAUUUAUGUUUCUCUUUGGAGUCUGCAUUUUCAUCUAUUAAUGGCUCGUUCUCAUCCUAACUCUCAUUUUUCUUUUUUUUAUUCCCUCUUGUCAACUCUUGCUUCUUUGAUUUGAAUAUUUUUUUCUUUCAUGAAGUUUGGGACCAUGGUAGAGAUGGUCAGAUAUCUCUAGUAAUUCGUAACCAGUAUGGAAGUCGCUUUCUUUUAAUACUAUGUAUAAUAUAAUAGGUUUAGCAAUAACUAGCUACUACCUGUUUAAGCACACAGUUAGGCUGUUCUUAAUUGAUUCUUGUACUCUAUGGCUAGGUAUAUGUAGGGGUGGCCACUUAUCCGUUUAAAACAAAAACCCAGAAAUAUGAAACUCCACAAUCAAAUUAAAUAGAAUCUUUACUGCUUAAUGAGGAUGCUAACAAUUAGAAAUUAAAUGAUCGACUGAACAAUACAAACCCAAUUACUACACCAUCUAAAAGCCUGUACUUAAACUGGCCAAAAUUGAAAAGUCGAAUUGAACUGAACUAAUUUUGGUUCGGUUUCAAUUUAAACUUUUACUGAAAAUAAAAAAAUUGAACCAAACUGACUGAAUGUCCAGGUUAACAAAACCAGUCAUGUAUGCUACAUAGAAUUGUCAUAUGUGUUAUUAGCGGACAACGUCAUCUACUCUAAAUAGAAGCAAAUCCAGAAUUCGUAUGAGUUUGAGUUCGGAUUAGUACCGCAGCUCAUUCGAUAUACUGAACAGUGUAUUUGCUCAGUGAAUUUCUCAACAUAUUUACAAGAUUUGAGCCGAAGUUAUUGAGGAGUCGUCGGGGACUAGUCUAAAAACUUUUAUGUGGUCGAUUCAUCAUUAAAGACUUGAUCCAAAGAGCUUGGAAUAAUAGAGAAAGAGAAUAUUUACGUCAUUUCACCAAACAAGUGAACAACAAGAGUAUUAAUUAGCGAAUAAGGAGCCCAAUAUAGCAAAACAUAAUUAUUACAUAAACUUAAAUAUCACCUGUACAAGUGUCGAUAAGAACUUGAUAACGGGUGAAACAUAUACACAGAAGAAUAACAUGAUAAAAAUAAAUAAAUAGCAAAUGAGGUAUUUAAAUGAUAUAAAUAAAUAUUAUAUCUCAAAUGUGUUAUUGUUUUCGUUGUAUCUCACUUAAUCUAUUUUUACGGACGGAAAAAAUAGACUUACUAUAAAUCUCAAAAUUUCAAUUAUGCCACAUAAUUGAAAUAAAAUAAAAAUUAUAAAUCUCUAUACAUGUGAAACUCUAAAAAAAAAAGGUUAGAAAUGAUUGUGAUCCUACACUUUCUCGAACUCUUGAUAGGGAAGUCCAACGACCAUGCACCAAAUAUCAAGUGAACAAUUUCGGUCUUAAAUUAAAAAUAUAUAAGAAUGUAUUAAAAUGCUCUUUAAUUUUGUAGUUUUAAAUAUAUCCCGUAGAAGCUUAGAAUUAAAGUGUUAUUUAAAAAGUAGAGAGAUAUUAAUUUCGAAGCAGACUAAAAAAGAAAAUUAGACUAAUAAAUUGAAGCGGAUGGUGUAAUAAAUAAAUUAGAGUUUCAACAGUUAGAGAAUGCUUUUAUUAGCCAAUUUCGUUUGGAUUUGAAGUCUGUUACAGAGAUCAAUCAACAAUGAAUCAAACUAUACAGAUUUAGUUAUAGAGAUCAAUCAAUAAUUAAUCAACAACAUGGAUUUAGUUAUAGAGAUCAAUCAUUUAUUAGUCAACUACAUCACCACCAACCUUUUUUCUUCUAUCAUAUAUUUUAGAAUUCCUUUUUUCGUACACAAAAUAGAAAAUCUAUCAACAUUUAAUUCUCUCUCUCUCUAUAUUUUACCAUAUAUUUUCGAAUUCUUUAAAAUUUUCAGAUUAUAGUCUAUAGUAUUAUAAAAAAUAAAUAAUUUGAAAAUAAUAAUAAAUGACAGUUUUAUUUAUUAUAAAGUCUUUUAAGCGGAUUUUUAUCCUUUUAAAAGUAAUAUAGAUAUAGAUUCUUGUACCAUGGCUAGGUAUAUGUAGUAGGGGUUGGCACUAAUCGACCGCACUGAUUUUUGAACAAAUUACAAUACUGAAAUCAAAUAGAAGCUUAAUAACUGAUUAGUGAGAAAAUUUACCAUUUGGAGAUCAAAUGGCAACUGAACUAUACAAACCUAAUUAUUACACCAUCUAAAAGCAUAUAAUGAGAAUGGCCAAAACUGAAAAAUUGAAUUGAACUGAACUAAUUUUGGUUCGGUUUCUAUUUUAAGUUAAACCAAAUUGAAAAUGGAAAAAUUGAACUGAAUUGAUCGAAUGCGGAGGUUAGCAUUUGUAUUAGCGGACAAAAUUUGUAUAGGUUCAAGUUUGGAAUAAUAGUACCACAACUCGUUUGAUUUAAGGGACAACAAAAUUUGUUAAUUUUUUGAUAUAUUCUGCAAUGUUUGAACUGAAGUUACUGAGUUUGGAUUUACAUCUUGACGCAAGUUACUUCCUCACCAAUCACUAUCUUAGAGGGACUGGUCUUUAUGCCUUACAUCGUAACGCAAGCUACUUCCUUACCAGUCACCAUUUUAGAGGGGGCUAGUCUAAAAACUUUAACGUGGUAGAUUCAAGACUUAAUCCAAAGAGCUUGGAAUUAUAGAGAGAUACUAAUUAUUUCAUUUCACCAAACAACAAUAUUAAUCAGCGAAUAUUAAGCCUCCCGCCCUCACCCCACCCCACUCCCAACAUAAACACACCUCUACAUAAAUUAUUAAAACAUAAUUAAUACGUAAACUUAAAUAUCACCGGUACAAUUGUCGAUAAGAACUAAACAAUACGCAUUACGCGAAACAAGGAAAUGUCGAGUAAUUUUUAGCAAUUUUAUUAAUAUGUUUCUUAUUCCCAUUGCUUGCUUCUCUAAUUGUAUCACAUUUUGGGGUGAUUUUUUUUUAUAUUUUAGAAAAAGUCAACGAAAGAUGAGCCCAUACCUGAUUACCAAGGAUUAUUUUAGAAAUCACAUGGGAGAAAAUAAAUGCUUUUGAAUAAGAGGCUAAAACAUAAGUUUGCUUCAUUCAUGGAACUUUCUCUUCACAAAAUGUAUUUACUAUAGUUAUGGGCUUUUGUGAGAGAAACACAACACUAUCGAUCCCGAAUUAAAGAGGCCAGUCCAUUAAUACUACUACAACAACUCACAUUAACUCUUCUUCCCAACCAAUGAUUCAAUUCAACUUUCUUCAUUUUGGAUAGGUUUAGGAUUAUAUAUUAUAUACAAAUACAAAUUCAACUAUUCAAUGUGACAGCUCAAUCUAAUUUAGAUUUCAGAUCUCAAAUACUUAAUUCUAUUUAAUUAAUGACGUCGGUAGCAUUUUAUUAUUUUAUAUAGCUUCUCAUUGAAUUUUGGUCUAUCAUUGUGAUUUCAAAGAGAUAGUUAAUAGCAAUAGAUUUUCGUUGUGAGAAAUUUUUUAGUGGUAAUUGAGUUAAUGUCAUUAUAUUCAGAGUUGUUGAAGCCUUUAGCGUCAUUUAGAUAAAGUGUAGGUUAUAAAUACCAAUAUUUAUUAUAUGGCAAAAAUUAUAUUAUUGUUGAUAAAUUCUUUAUUUGUUGUAGUGUUUUCCGAGUGACAUGUUGGACAUUUAGUGGUAAUAGAUUUUCCUUUAGUAUUGUUGCGAAAAUAUUUAGUGGUAAUUGAGUUAAUGUCAUUGUAUUUCGAGUUGCUAAAACCUAUAACCACAUUUAGAUAGAGUAUUGAUUAUAAAUAUCAAUAUUUGUUAUUCUCGCUAAAUAUAUUGCUCGCUACAUUUUUUAUUUGUUGUAGCAUGUUUUUCCAUUGAAAUGUUGGCAAAAUUAUAUAUAAGCGGUAUCAAUUUGCGACAAUUUAGCUUGCAAGUGAAUUUGGGUCUAUCGUCGUGGUGAUUUUAUUUAAGAUUUUACUGCUACCCAAAAUUAAGAAAUGGAGGAAGGAUAUUUAUUUUGUCUUAUUUUGAAAUAACGUCACAUCCUAGAGCGUUUCAUGUGUGUACACAUUUAUUUAUUAGAAAAUUAUUAUUUACACACAAAUAUUAGAAAAAAAACUUUUGUAAUGUGUGGGUCUCCGCCAUUGCUUCCAGUAAUUUUCUGAAGUAUUCUUUUAGCUGAAACGUAUUAAUGAGUUUGCUAACUAUAUUAAGCUGAUCAAAUUUAAUGACCAAGAUAUUACAUUUUAUAUCUCAUACUUUUAUUUUUAGUCUUCUUAAAAAAUAAUGAUAGUGUCAUUUUGUAUUAGGAAAUUGUUUAACUUUAAAUUUUUCAUUUUUAGUUAAUGACAUGCUCAUAUAUAUCAUAAGAAAUGUCAUAAGAUGCCUAUAAAAAUUACAAGUUGCAAGUGUACAUUAGAUAUAUACUAAAGUCCUUACGUUAUAAACUUGUACUUAAUCAAAUACUGUCAUAUACAUGAAAGGAAGGCAAAUAGUAUUAGACAAUUUUUUGCUUGUUGAGGAAAAAGAUAGACGUAAAAGGUUUGCCGUGUUUUACACGUUUUGAGGAUAAGCUUUGAAUACAAAGAAAGCAACGUAUGGGAAAUAGCCCAUAUAUGAUCACAAUAUCUGCUCUGCCAUACUUCCAGAAUAAUACAUCAAGUGGAAGAGGAAAGGGAAGGGAAAGGGAAAGGGGAAACAAUCGAGGGGAUUACCAGGUGGAGAAUCGAACCCUCACCAAUAAGGUUAAAGUUCACGUAGUCAAUUAAAACCAACUGAACUACUAAUAUUCUCCAAUUACAUGUAUGAUGUAACUAUUUAUUGAUUACUUAGAUUGACAAAAAAGGGGGUGCAUAUACAUGUUUGAAGUAGUUCGGGGUUAUAGGACCUUUUCAAAAUUUAAGCGUCUCUUUAAGGUAUGAAGAAUAAUUUGAGUAGACUAUGUAUUAUUGAUAAUGGAGUUAAUAUCUUAAGGGUUACUCAACUAUUGACGUUUCACCUAUAGAGUUACUUAAUCAUUUUAUAUGAUUUUUUCAUUUAAUUUUACUUAUAUGAAAAAUUUAUUUUGAGCAUUUUUUUUUUUUUGAGAAAUAAAAAGCUACAUACCCAUCUUAAUUAUUUUAGCUAGCUAGUCUUGUUUCAUACAUGGUCUGAUUUUCUUGAUUAUUAACUCACUGUUUACUAUAUAUCCGUAGGGUUGGCAAUUUCAGCCCAUCUUAAUGAAAUGAAUUCAUUUAAUCCAUAUUUAAUGACUUGGAUCAUUCAUAUUUUAAUAAAAAAAUUGUAUGAAAUAGCAAAUUAUUAAUUUAAAUUAAAUGCUAUAGCCAUAGUUUAUUUUAAUUGUAAUUCGCAGCAAACAUCUCUUUUUUUUUGCCAUCUGAUUCAGUAUACAAUUAGUCAUUUUCGGUAUACAAUUAGCCAUUUUAUACAUUUCGAUAUAAAAUGUAUAAAAUAUGUUUGUGUUUGUAUAAAGCGAGAGAAAAAUGUAUAUACAAAUACUAAUACAUACAUUUUCGUCUUAUACACUUAUAAUUAUACAAAUACAGAUCUUAUUAUACAAAUUACAAUGUAUAAAUGAAUUUAUACAAAACNNNNNNNNNNNNNNNNNNNNNNNNNNNNNNNNNNNNNNNNNNNNNNNNNNNNNNNNNNNNNNNNNNNNNNNNNNNNNNNNNNNNNNNNNNNNNNNNNNNNNNNNNNNNNNNNNNNNNNNNNNNNNNNNNNNNNNNNNNNNNNNNNNNNNNNNNNNNNNNNNNNNNNNNNNNNNNNNNNNNNNNNNNNNNNNNNNNNNNNNNNNNNNNNNNNNNNNNNNNNNNNNNNNNNNNNNNNNNNNNNNNNNNNNNNNNNNNNNGUAUAAAAUGCGUUUGUGUUUGUAUAAAGCGAGAGAAAAAUGUAUAUACAAAUACUAAUACAUACAUUUUCGUCUUAUACACUUAUAAUUAUACAAAUACAGAUCUUAUUAUACAAAUUACAAAGUAUAAAUGAAUUUAUACAAAACUGAACAAUUUGUAUAAAAAUUGGAUGUUUAUAACGAAUUAUACAAAUCAAAAGCUCCAUAGCAAGCAUAAAAUCUGCUAUGGAGCGCAAUUAUGCAAACUAUAGUUAUAACAUAUAAAUAUGAUUUUUAUGUUUGCUAUAUGUGAAUAUUACUCUAUUUUAAUUGGGUAAAUAUGGGCUUCAAGCUAUUUUAAGAGUUCCUACAAAUAUGGUCAAAAUGGGUAAAAUAUGAGUAUCCAUAUAGACCCAUAAUAGAUCACUCACUUCUCACUUCUACUCAAAAUUCUAAAUUGUGCUAUCAAAAAAAGCCUUUUUUAAUUUAUUUUUUUUGGGGUGGGGGGACGUGGGAGUACAGGGGUGGGGGUAGGGUUGGCAAAAAAAAAUAAUAUUUUUUUAAAAAAAAUUUAAAAUUAUUAUUUUUCUGAAAAAAAAAAUUUUAAAUUUUUUUGGGGGUGGGGCAGGUGGGGGUAUGAGUUGCCAAUUUAUUUUUUUUGUACAAGAAAUAGUCUUUUUGAAUUAUUUUUUUGGGUGGGUGGUAGGGGUAGGAUGGGAUGGUAGGGGUUGAGGUAUUAACAAUUUAGAUUUGAUUUAAUAUUUUUUGGCUUUAAGAAAUUAAAGUGGGUUAUAACCAUUUUAUCCAAACCAUAUUUGAUCAAAUUUAUAUUUACCCAUAUUUUAUAUGGGUUACUUGUGAUCCAAUCCAUUUUAACUCAAUCCAUAUUAAAUUCAUCCAAAUCCGAUCCAAACCACUCAUUUGCCACCCCUAUUAAUAUACGCGUCUUGAGUAAAAAAACAAUUAUUCUGGUCAAAGUGUUGUGUCAAUCAAUUGCCACAUCUUCUCACUUUUGAUAAAUCAUAUAUGUUGCUUUCAUUUAUAUUUCACCAUUCGUUAAUUUCUCAAUCCAGACAAAUAUUAAAUAGCUGCCUCUACUUAUAUGUGGGAUAUUUUCCCUCCCGUCUUGUUAAUCAUUAAUCACCAUUAAUUAGUACAAUCUAUAUUUAUCAUAUAUAACUUUAAUUAUAAUUGAUUGAUUAGAAGGUGGAAUAUACAUUAUUAUUAGUUUAGAAUCUUCUUUAAUUAUAUUACCAUAUAUAAUAUGUACCAUAUAUAGCAUUUACUAUGUAUAGCUUCUUUUUUUUGUACGUUAUUAGAGAUGCAGAAAAUUAAAAAAAUUGGCUUGUUCAUUGUCAACAUGAUCCCCUUCAAUCUACUAUUUUUGUGAAAAAACUUACCCGCACCGGAUGUAUACAUCAAAUUAAUGCAAUUUUUAUUAUCACAUGAUUUAAUGAAGUAAAACACAUGUUAAUUAAUUAUGGUUAAGUAAAAUGAACUAUAAAUUUAAACACAUGACAUGCAUGUAUUGGCUUGAUGUAUACAUCCGAUGCGGGUAAGUUUUACCCAUUUUUUUGUACUAUUGGCUUUAUUCAAUUAUGUGAACCUAUUUAAUUGACACAUAUUUUUUAUUUUUAAAAAAAUAAGAUUUGAUAUUUGUGGAUAUUGCUUUUUAAAAUGGAGUAAGCACGAAAUAGGUUUAGGACCUUCGCAAAGUUUGUCUUUUUUAAAAUAGUGCCUUAGUUAAAGAGGGUAAUCAUGUAGUCCCUCUUAAAUGAAUGUUGUAUAUAUCUAUUUUAAUGUCCAUUGCUAUUUCACAAUCACUUGUGACCUGUGAGACAAAUACACUAAAAUUUGUUAUAUUAAAAGUAUGAAAAACACUUAUUAACGAAAUGUUAUUCGCCUUUUAAUCCUUCCUAUGUGUAUUUUAAGUUAAAAUAGUAAAUACAAAUGAAGUCGCCUUUUUCUUUUUUAUUAGCAAACACAAUUGCACAUGACCAUAAAGGAAAAAGAAGAACAGGUUUAAAAAAGAAUAAGUACCAGUAGUAUUUAAUAUCCCUAGUUCUCUAUUAAUGAAAAAAAUAAAAUAAGUAAGAAAUUUAUAACUAAGUAUUACUGUUAAAGAGGGUUUAAAACCUCCAUUAAUAUUUUAUAUUUCAUAAUAAACCCUAGUUUCCUGAAUAGCCUUGUACAUUCAUUCGCCCUCUUCCACUACCUUUUCAUUAGCAGCAAGUACAUUAGGUAAUAAUAUUCCUUCUUUGUUAGUAACUCUCACUUGUGUGAUUAUACUGACUACUAAUAAUAGUAAUACUUCCCGUAGAGUGUGGAAUCAUUCUUCAAUGGACCCUGACAUGAUUCGUCCGCGGAGAAGCAAGCCUUGUCCACCAACACCAAGACCACACGGUGAAAACGUUGUAGAAGCAUGUCAACAUGAUAGCUAUAAUUUUCGCGAAGAUCCAUUACCA